AUGGCCGAGGCUGAGCUCAGGAAAGGUCUAAAAAUCAAGUUGUUGGGCCUUGCGGCGAUCGAGCGCUGCAGGAAAAGGCAAGCCUCCCGUCUCACAUGGAUGCGUGCGGGAGACGCCCCCACCAAGUUUUUCAUGGCCAAGAUCAGCUCAAGAAGAUGCAAGAACUUCAUAAACGCUCUGAAAGUUGGAGACAACAUUGUGACAGCUCACACAGAGAAGGAAAAGGUAAUCCACGAUCACUUCAACUGCAUCCUGGGAUCCACCCAACACCGAGCCACAUCGAUCAACUGGGAUGAGUUGCACAAGACUUCAGUGCAUGGAAAUGGCCUGGCCAACCCGUUUUCUGAGGAGGAGGUUUGGGCGGCGAUUAAGGAUUCACCCACAUAG
rnacentral:rRNA from 1 species